rnacentral:rRNA from 1 species
UGAACUUAAGAGUUUGAUCCU